rnacentral:lncRNA from 1 species
GUUCAGCAAAGUAAGAUCUACAAAUAAGUCAACAUGACCAAAAUGGUCAGUUGACCACUUUAGGAGUUAUUGCCCUUUAUAGUCAAUUUUUAACCAUUUUUCGUAAAUCUUAGUAAUCUUUUAGAAAAAAUCUUCUCCUCUGAAACUACUGGGCCAAAUUUAACCAAACUUGGCCAUAAUCAUCAUUGGGGUAUUUAGUUUAAAAAAUGUGUCCGGUGACCCGCCCAACCAACCAAGAUGGCCACCAUGGCUAAAAAUAGAACAUAGGGGUAAAAUGCAGUUUUUGGCUUAUAACUCAAAAACAAAGCAUUUAGAGCAAAUCUGACAUGGGGGUAAAAUUGUUCAUCAGGUCAAGUUCUAUCUGCCCUGACAUUUUCAGAUGAAUCGGACAUUUCGU